rnacentral:rRNA from 1 species
CGUAGGGUGCGAGCGUUAAUCGGAAUUACUGGGCGUAAAGCGUGCGCAGGCGGUUUUUUAAGACAGGCGUGAAAUCCCCGGGCUCAACCUGGGAACUGCGCUUGUGACUGGAAGGCUAGAGUACGGCAGAGGGGGGUGGAAUUCCACGUGUAGCAGUGAAAUGCGUAGAGAUGUGGAGGAACACCAAUGGCGAAGGCAGCCCCCUGGGUCGAUACUGACGCUCAUGCACGAAAGCGUGGGUAGCAAACAGGAUUAGAUACCCUGGUAGUCCACGCCCUAAACGAUGUCAACUAGGUGUUGGGAGGGUAAAACCUUUUAGUACCGGAGCUAACGCGUGAAGUUGACCGCCUGGGGAGUACGGCCGCAAGGUUA